GAUGAACGCUGGCGGCGUGCCUAAUACAUGCAAGUCGAGCGAACAGACGAGGAGCUUGCUCCCCUGACGUUAGCGGCGGACGGGUGAGUAACACGUGGAUAACCUACCUAUAAGACUGGGAUAACUUCGGGAAACCGGAGCUAAUACCGGAUAAUAUAUUGAACCGCAUGGUUCAAUAGUGAAAGACGGUUUUGCUGUCACUUAUAGAUGGAUCCGCGCCGCAUUAGCUAGUUGGUAAGGUAACGGCUUACCAAGGCAACGAUGCGUAGCCGACCUGAGAGGGUGAUCGGCCACACUGGAACUGAGACGCGGUCCAGACUCCUACGGGAAGCAGCAGUAGGGAAUCUUCCGCAGUGGGCGAGAGCUUGACGGAGCAACGCCAGGUGAGUGAUGAAGGUCUUCGGAUCGUAAAACUCUGUUAUUAGGGAAGAACAAAUGUGUAAGUAACUAUGCACGUCUUGACGGUACCUAAUCAGAAAGCCACGGCUAACUACGUG
rnacentral:rRNA from 1 species